GAUGAACGCUGGCGGCGUGCUUAACACAUGCAAGUCGAGCGAGAAGUUUUGAAAAGAUUCUUCGGAUGAAAUUUAAAAUGGAAAGCGGCGGACGGGUGAGUAACGCGUAGGCAACCUGCCCCAUACAAGGGGAUAGCAUUUGGAAACGAAUAUUAAUACCUUAUGAAACUUAACUAGUGCAUGCUAGGUAGGUCAAAGAUUUAUCGGUAUGGGAUGGGCCUGCGUCUGAUUAGCUAGUUGGUGAGGUAACGGCUCACCAAGGCGACGAUCAGUAGCCGACCUGAGAGGGUGAACGGCCACAUUGGAACUGAGACACGGUCCAAACUCCUACGGGAGGCAGCAGUGGGGAAUAUUGCACAAUGGGGGAAACCCUGAUGCAGCAACGCCGCGUGAACGAUGAAGGCCUUUGGGUCGUAAAGUUCUGUUCUAGGUGAUGAAAACUGACAGUAACCUAGGAGAAAGCCCCGGCUAACUCCGUG
rnacentral:rRNA from 1 species